UUUGGAUAGUAAACUGUUUUGAAUACUUAUGCUGAAGAUGACAGCUCAGUGACAGUGUUUUAAAGUCACUAAACAACAUAUAUACUAGUCUGUCAACUAAAACAACCGACACACGCUGCUCUAAAGUGCAGGAAUGCAGUGAAACUCGACUCACCUAAAAUGAGGGAAGUGUUUGGACCGUACAGUCAACAGAAGCAGAGCUCCAGGGCGUUUGGACAGCCGUUUUAGACAUCUGCUGAUGGCCAGGAAAAAGCAGCACAGACGUGAAGGCGAUGUGAUCAAGGCUAAACACAGAGAAUGAGGGAUGUGUUUGGACCGUACAGUCAACAGAAGCAGAGCUCCGGGACGUUUGGACUACAUUUACUGGCGUGAUGGACAUCUGCUGCGGACAGGAAAAAGCAGCACAGACGUGAAGGCGAUGUGAUCAAGGCUAAACACAGAGAAUGAGGGAUGUGUUUGGACCGUACAGUCAACAGAAGCAGAGCUCCGGGACGUUUGGACUACAUUUACUGGCGUGAUGGACAUCUGCUGCGGACAGAGAAUGAGGGAUGUGUUUGGACCGUACAGUCAACAGAAGCAGAGCUCCGGGACGUUUGGACUACAUUUACUGGCGUGAUGGACAUCUGCUGCGGACAGGUAAGACCUCCCGCUCGUUUUUGUGUUUUGUGCUAUCGGUUACCAUCACUUCCUUUCUGGAGGGUCAACCCCUCCAGAAAGGAAGUGAUGGUAACCGAAACGGGGAGAGAAGGGACGGGGACCCCUUUUUUAUAGAGCUAAUUUAUUUUUUUAGUAAAAAGCAGCAUAACCCCUGCUGUACAUGGCCCCGUAGGUCAGGGGAGGAACGCUCCAUCCUCCCCCUUCGUUCACUCCAACACUCACACAUAUCGCAGUGAUCUGGCUGGGAUUGAACCAGCAACCUCUUAACCCUUGAGGCAAUGCUCUACCGCUGAGCCACAGUCACAUACCUAGAGGUAUGCUGAAACGUAUAUUUGACCUGUUCACCUGUAGGUGAGGUAAAGAGCAAAAGUGAGCAGAGCUGGGCUUCGAACACAAGUUUUGCUGCUAGAAUUAAACAUGUGCUCAGCCUGACAUGGUUCUGAUUGAAAGCCGAACGCUCUAACCACUGAGCCACAGAGCUUGUACAAUGCAUGAGGGUUGUAAUCCGAGUUUUGUUGGAUCCCGUGAGAGUUUUAACAGUGAAAUUCAAGCAUCAGUGGGAUUCAAACCCCGGUCUUCAAAAUGUCAACCUAAUGCGCUAACCGCUGAACCAUAGAGCUU